GAUGAACGCUGGCGGCGUGCCUAAUACAUGCAAGUCGAGCGAAUGGAUUAAGAGCUUGCUCUUAUGAAGUUAGCGGCGGACGGGUGAGUAACACGUGGGUAACCUGCCCAUAAGACUGGGAUAACUCCGGGAAACCGGGGCUAAUACCGGAUAACAUUUUGAACCGCAUGGUUCGAAAUUGAAAGGCGGCUUCGGCUGUCACUUAUGGAUGGACCCGCGUCGCAUUAGCUAGUUGGUGAGGUAACGGCUCACCAAGGCAACGAUGCGUAGCCGACCUGAGAGGGUGAUCGGCCACACUGGGACUGAGACACGGCCCAGACUCCUACGGGAGGCAGCAGUAGGGAAUCUUCCGCAAUGGACGAAAGUCUGACGGAGCGACGCCGCGUGAGUGAUGAAGGCUUUCGGGUCGUAAAACUCUGUUGUGAGGGAAGAACAAGUACCGGAGUAACUGCCGGUGCCUUGACGGUACCUCAUUAGAAAGCCACGGCUAACUACGUGCCAGCAGCCGCCGUAA
rnacentral:rRNA from 1 species